AGCUGUCAAGGAGAUGGAGUGCAGAGCUUGGUGAACAUGAGGGUUGCUGAGUCGAAGGAGCUCGAAGUGGAGAGCUUCCAAGGAGGGGUAAGAGUCAGGGUCAAGAGGCGGAGAGGGCAGGUGGUGGAAAGUGAUGGAAGGGGUGGUGGCAGAAAUGCAAUUCAUGUAAGCAGCAGUGGAGGCUGCAGUGUUGUAUGGCGGGUUCACCACGAGAACAGUAACAGCCAAUCCAGGGUGGUGGUUGAGAGUGAACUUACCCAGCUCCACCAUGGAAACCAGGUGACCCAUGCCUGGAGAUGGAUACAGAACUAUAGUACGAUUACUCGCCAUCUCUCUAUCUCUAUGUGUUGGUACACCCAAUUUCCACAAUACUACGCGACUCUUUGAGCCAAUUGAGAGCCUCAAAAUUCCAAGUUCCAAAUAAAUAGAGAGUAACUUCCUUCAACUUUCCAUGGCCAAUAAAUGCAAUCAACUGACUAUGCUUUGUCAAGUCACCGUAGGCAAAAUCAAGAGAUAAUUUCAGAAACCUUGACGUUUCUGACAAUUUCACUUAGCUCUAUUAAGAUUUGAAAAAUUACACAUAUCUCUAUUGUUAUUUAAAAUGACAAUUAUUGGGAGUGUUUGGAUACCUUAAUUAUUUCAAAUAAUAUUUUACUUGCAUCACAAACACAUUUUAUAACCUACCUUUUUAUAUUCUCAAUCAUCUUUUUAUCUCACAUACAUCACAUCACAUCACAAAAAGUGCUACAAUAAUUAUUCCAAAUAAUAUUUCAAAUAAUACACUAUCCAAACAAUAUACUAUUCUUAAAUUUCCUUGUUUGAUAUGCUUAUACUUAGAAUGAAUUUAAACUUAUUUUUCAUUCUUUUUCCUUUUUAUUUUAUUUUUUUGCCAAUAAAAUUAUAAAAUUACUACUAUUAUCUCUAGUUUCUAUUGUGAUCAAAUGUCGAACUAAUGAUUUUUUUUAUGAGUUAACUUUAUAUGUAAUCCAAUUUUUUUGCUAAUCUUUGUUUUUUAUUUUUUGGUAUUAAAAUUAACAAUAAAUCAAAAAGAAAUUGUCCAAAAUCACUACUAAAUUAUGAUAAUUCCACUACUCAAAAAAUUCAUAAAUUCUGAAUCAAUUAUUUUAAUAUUUUAUUUUCUAUAUUAUAAAUAUAAAUUCAUAAUAAAAUACCAUCAAAAGUAUUCUAUCAUAGUGAUAAAAUUAUUAUUAUAAUUAUUUAUUAAAUAGUAGGUAUGGACAUGAAAAAUUCGGCACCUUUUCCUUAUAAUUACAUUAGAUAAUCUUAUAAUUCUAUAAAGAAGUAAUUUAAAACUUAUUACACAAGUGCAUUUUUGGGUAUUUAUUUAAAAAUUUGAUCAAAUCAAUAUUAUUUUAAGAUUUUGUUACUAAAACUAUUAAAUCAAUGGGGGUAUAUACAAUUUUUUAAAUUUCAAAUGAGCUCAGUGAAAUUGUCAGAAACCUCAAGAGAAGUUUCUGAAAUUAUUUCCAAAAUCAACUUGUCUUUGUUUGUGCAAAGGUCGAGUCACCAUUUCUCAUGGACAUCCAAAACCUACGACAUCCAAAACGGCGUACGUUGCUGGGAAGUGUCUUUGAGCAAAGGGAUAAUUUCAGAAACCUCACAUAAAAUUUUUGAUAAUUUUACUCAGACUCCCUUGAAGUUUUCAUAAUUAUGAAAACCUCCUUUGGUAUGAUAAAAAGAUAACAAUACCCUUCAUUAAUUAUCAAUUCAUUGAAAACCUCUAUCAAAUAUUUAAGAUUUCUCAUCUAUUAUCAACUAAUAAUUCAAACUACAGUUUUUUCUAUUUAACUAUCUAUCCACUUUCUCCUAGAUCUAUUUUCCUUUGAAACUUAUUUAUUUAUUAUUGUCAACCAAAUGUACACUGUCGCUAUUAAUAAAAUUACCAUACACACCAAACCACAAAUACUUAUUUAUUUUGGUAUCGAUUUCCAAUUCUCAAUUUUUCAUUAUUAUUAAAUAGUUUCCUUGCGCCCAUUUUUGUUUUAAAUUUUUAAUAGGCAUUAGCAAAUUGAAAUUGUCAAAUGACAAAUUGAGUGCUAAUUUGAUUAUCAAACUAGAUGAAGAUGAAGAUAGUGAUAGAGAUAAAAAUAAAUAAAACUUAAGGAUAGAAAGUUGAAUAGGAACUAAAUAUAAAUUAUACUGCUAUAGUUGCCAUGAAAAAAAGUAUUUUUGGUAUAUAUUUAUAACUGCUUUGUGUUUCUAUUUUUUAUUUACAAUUAUUGAUGUUAUUACUAUAGAGAGAAUUUGAUUGAUUUUGAACACUGUGCCAAUGGAGUAUAUUGGAUAUUGAUAUUAGUAGUAAUAGUUUAGAUUAUUUUGUAUUAAAAAGUUUGGCAGGCAUGGAAUUAAAAUUUAGGUAUAUUCAUGAAAAAUCUUGUAUAUGAAGUAAUAUCUAAUAUUGAUAUGAGAUUGUAGGUAAACUUUUGAAUAUCUGAUAUAGCGUUUAUAGUUGAUAUAAUAGUUUGUGUCAUAAAUUUUUAGAUAAAAGAAAAACAUUAGAACAAAGAUAAGUGUUUAUUUAAUAGUGAUUUGGAUGUUGAUGAGUAGAUAAUAGUGAUAGUAAGUAAAGAUAAAUAAAAUAGAGACUAUGAAUCAUUUUUUUUCCUUUACAUUUUUGUUGUGAAUUAUAACUUAAGGACAUUAUAGGAAUUUUGAGAAAAAGUACAACUUUUUAAGCCUAGAAUGUUACUGAAAUAGUGAAAAUAGGGGAGAUAAGUGUAAUUUUUAGAAUCUGAAGGGAGUUUUCUGCAAUUAUCAAAAACCUCAAGAGAGGUAUGCGAAAUUAACCCUUGAGCAAAAGUCCAGACAACUUAUAUAAUUUUUUAUAUAUUGUCGAUUUUAACUGAAUAAUAAUUAUAUAAAAUUUAAUUUUUAUUUAUAUAUCAUAAAUUUAACGGUGAUAGUGUAUAAAUUAUUAGUGUAUAUAAUAAGUUACAUGAGCAAAUAAGUCGUUAUUAUUAUUUUCUGGUGAAACCUUAAAUAUAUAGGACUCUUUUGAUUUUUGCCCUUUUCCCUAGACCCCUCUUGCCGUGUGAACGCUGGUUUAUCAAAGUUUACAGAAGCACAUACAUCAUUGUUAUUUUCUCAUGAAACCUUAAACUGCCUUUUUUUUUUUUUUUUUUGUCGACACUGGGGUGUUCGGGUCAAGACCCGAAGGCGGCCCGACUAAUCCCCAGCGGCUCGGGAGGAGAGGCCCCAUCCCCCCAAGCACGGUAACCCUGCACGACUCGAACCCCUGGCAAGCGCUCCUAAGGAGGCGUGCGCUGCCAGAUGAGCUGCCCAAGAGGGGCCUUAAACUGCCUUCAGUAGUCCAUAAGAUACAAUCUAACAAAAAUUCCGCCUGCAAAGAAAUUUGCCUGGAUCCUCCUCAGAACUCCUCAAAUCUCGUCUCAAUGGAAUCUCAGAGAGGUUUAUAUUUGAUUUAACUAAAAGUAUGUCCAACAAACACUUUUCUUAAAUAGUCUGUUGAAGGGUAAAUUUCUUGGAAUAUUGAUUAAAGAAAAAAAUGUUGGAAAAAUAUGAUCCUGUAGAGGUGGUUUUCUUGUUAUAUGCCCGUUGAAUCCACUGGAUACGACUGGCAAUUUUUUUUAUUUUUUUAAUCUAAAAUACUGAAUAUGCUGGCCGGUUAUCUAUUUUGUAGCAGGGACCAAUUUAUAAAUAAGGCUUUUUUUUCUUUUGCCUUUUGAGCGAACUGAUAUGAUCAGAAUACAUGAUAGUGCUGGAAACAACUUUUUAUUUCAUCCCCAAGCUAAGUAAAAUCUUUUCCGGUGCUGCCGUCGAGUUCUUUUGAAAAUCACAUAACAAGUCAUGUAGAUUUUAAGUAGGUUUAAUCAUAUAUUAGUAAAUACAAAUUUGAUUUAUAUUUACAUAAAGGAAAAUAGUUGUGACACAAUUUACGAGCAAGAAAGUUUUUAAUGAUUUUCAAUUUUUUUCCUACCUGGAGAAAACAAAAGUCUAAACUUGAAAUAUAAUAAGAACAGAGAAAUAUUAAAAUUAGAGAUCAUAUAGAGUAAUUAUGAUUCAACUACAUACAAAAUGGUAAUUAUCUUAUAAUAGGAAAUUUUUUAAAAAUCAUGAGAAGGGGCAAGGGACUUGAAUCCAAGACCUCUAAUUCUUAAUACUUCAACCUUUGUCAUAGACCGAGGAUUUGAUAACAGAGAUUAGGGGUGGCAAUGGGGCGGGGGACUCCUCCCCCACCUCUCGCCCCCCUGCUUCACCCACCCCGCUUUCCCCGCAGGGGUUAAAAAAUUUUGUUAUAUAAUUUCAUUAUAAUUAAAUUUUAGCAAAUAAUCAAGUACUAAAAUAUCAACACAUCACCAAAUUAUUAUUCAUUGUAAUUUCACAAUUGAAAUUCAUAAAAAUAAUUGAAUAAAAGUUAUUUGAGUACAAUCUAAUAUGAUAUAACAAAUAUAACAAAAAUAAUUAAGUUUUCACUUUUGAUACAAAUACAAUCACUAAAUUAUUAUUGUAUUUUUUUUAGAAAAAAGUGUUAUUGUAUUAAGUGUAAUUAGGAAUUCAAUAUAAAUGUAUUAAUAAAUUUAGUAUAAAUAAUUAAUAAUUUUUAUUAAUAGACAUGUAUAAUUAGUAGUAUAAUUGAUAAUAUCAAUUAUAUUACAUAUACUAAUAUACAUUAAAUGAUACAUAUAACUAAUAAUAUCAUUAUUAUAAAUUUAUAACUAAUUAAAUUAAAUAUUAUAUAUAUAAUUAUGUACAUAUAUAUAUAGAUAUCUUUAUUUUUUUUAAAUGGGUGGCGGGGCGGGGUAAUCUAAACGCAUGGAAAAAAUUUCCCCCCGUCCCCGCCCCAAUUGCCCCCUGUGGGCCCUCGGCCCCAUUGCUAUCCUUAACAGAGAUGUAACAAAAUCAACACUAAGAAGUGACCUAUACACAACGAUUUAGAGUAAAAUAUACAGUAAACUUCUAUAAAUUAAUAUCUUCUAUUAAAUAAUAAUUUUUUUGAUCUCGAGUUGGAAUAACAAGUUAAAUUAACAAUUUUGAUGAAAUAAUAAGAUAAUAUAUAUUUUUUGAAAACUUCAUCUAACUUUUUGGUACUAUUCAUAUCAUAAAUUAAUAAUUCAUCAAAAUUACAUUUCAUAUUUUAUAAAAAUAUGAGUUUAUUAUUUUUUAAAAAAUUUAAAUUUACUUAAAUCUCAUCUUUAGUUUUAUAUUCAUUAAACUUUUAAACUUCUUUUAUUAAUAAAUUAAUUCAUUUUUUUAUAAAAAGAAUAAUGAGCAAUCACUUGACGCCAACGAGUAGGAAAAAGGACUAACCAAAAUGUUUAAAAGCAUUAUGCUUAAUUAUUGAUCCCAGAAAACAAAUUUUGCAAUAGUUGAUUGUCCUAAUAAAUCUUGACUUAACCCAAAAAAAGGGAUAAAAAACAAGUAAAUUGGUGUGUUUUGUCAUAUAACCUAUGAGAUUAGAAAUAAAAGGUAUUCAAAAGGUGCAUCAUCUUCACAUGCAAGUCAGACGGUUUCGGAUACCACCAAAUCACCUGAUCAUAACUUUGUACUCAAAUUAAAAAGUUGCAUGUCCUUUUUAAUCAAGAAAAUAUAUUAAAAAAAAAGCAAAAUCAGGACUCUUUAUAAUCUUCACAACAAAUUACAGCAAUGGAGGAGUGGCAGCAAAGACGAUGAAAUUCGGGUGGUGGUGGACGAGCCUGUUGGUAGCGGCAGUGGUUGUUUGGUGGAGGAGCUACGGUGGGCUAGGAAACGACAGCAGAUAUUCGCGUUUGGGAAACUUCUGGUUGGGGUAGAUACUUCUUUGUUUGGAUUGCAUUUUUUUAAAUUUUUUAUUGCAAAAUUAUUGUAACGAUUUGAUAUAUGUAAAGUAAAAAAGUGAUUGAAGAUAUUUGUUUGGAUUGACCUUUAUUUCCCCAAAUAUAUUUGCUUACAUUAUCAUUACAAUUUCCAAUACAUCUUUUUACCUUCCCAAUUACCUUUUCAUCUCACAUACAUCACAUCGCAAAAAAUGCUACAAUAAAAAUAUCUCAAAUAACUUACAAUCCAAACAAACCCAGGAGUGUAGCAAUUUUUUAAAAUUUUUUUAAUCCAAUCAAAGCCGCCCUACAUAUAGAAAGUAGUUGUUUCGCAUGUGCUCUUUUUGCUUGAUCAGUGAAGAAAAUAUAGAAAGUAGUAAAAGAUUAAGCUCUUAUGUCUUAGACAUUUUAUUUUGGAUGAGAAAUGAAAGUCUCCUCAGUGCCGUUGAACGCUAGAUGUACAGCUUUUUUAACCUUUGCUCGCACAUAUAAAUUUCUUUUAUAAUGAAUGAAAUUAUCCUUUUGACAAAAAUAAAUAAAUAAAUCAAUCAAAGCCGCUCCACUUGUUUCCUUGUUUUGUAGGUCAAGGUCCGGUCUGAUUGAAAAAGUCAACUGGUGGACCCGGAAACUUUUGACCGCCUACUUUGUUAGAAACCCGGACCCCUUUCGAAAGGGCAAACGUCUUUUCAACAUUAAUACGUCCAAAAUUGAAAAUACAUAGCACUACAUAGACUCCGCACCAGCCACAAAAAUCUGAUCCCCAACACCAUGAUUCCCCUUUCCGCUGUUCCACUUGAAUUUGCACGCUAACAUACCACCAUCACAUGCGUACAACAAAGACGAAGAAUUAUCGGUCCUCAAGUCUACUUGGGAUUCUCUAUGUAAUUACUUGGUGUCAAAUUCAGUGUCAAUCUCACUUAUCAUGAUAAAAGAAAUUUAAAUAAAUAAUACAUGAUAAAUUAAAUAAACGGGACAUUUGAUAUAAACAUAAAAGUAACACUGAAUUAUCACUGAAAAAGUGAUAUUAAGGAUCUCGUGUUCCCCAAGUCAACAUACCGGGACAUCAGUCAAGUGAUAUUAUUAUAAGAUUAAUUCAUGGUUCAAUUUUCAAACCCUUUUCUUUCUUCCUUCCCUCUUCAACUCUGCAAAACAUAAAAAUCUCCUGCUAGGAAAAAAAAUACAUAAAUAAAUAGUGAAUCUGACCUGAAGACCCGACCCGGUUUGGGAUUAUUGAGUUGGCAAAGAGAGAAAAUUUUAAAUUUAUGAUGAUGCAUGCCUGGGAGACUUGGUGGCAACUACUCCUAGCUAGGAGCAGGAAGGGUCAGCCGCAAGGGCGGGUCUAGGACCAAUCCAAAUCCGAGACAUGAGUGAGUGCAACACUUGUUCCCAUGAUGACGCUGCUCUCAAACACUCACUGCAACAUUGCACCGAGUUAUCUACAGAACUCAUUUGGGAAAACAUCCAAAGAAUUAUUAAUUGGGUUGCGACUUAACGUUUUCGAGGAUUCAGAGGAAAGCCUCAAAACCUAAACUCAGAUUCUACUAUUUCGGAUUAAAAACUCUCUGUUGAAAAAACUCUCCUCAUAAACUAAACAAUAGCAUACUGUCAUAUGUUAUACUCAAAAUAUAUUUGUUGACAUUCAAAUAACAAUAAAUCCUUCCAGUAACAAAUUAAACGCACAAAAUAUAUCCAUCCAUAGGGUUUAUUAGUUUAUUAUUGCAGUGAGACUGGUGCAAGAAAAUGCGGCUAAUUCCCAGCUUACUCCAGCUUCCUCCAGGAUUCUACCAAUUUGGCCAAUGCCACAAUGGAUGAGCCCCCAUCAGCCAUUGCUUGCUUUGCUUCCUCCUUCUUUGCCUGGGCUGUUUCCCUGAUCACCUUUCCUUCCUCCGAAUCCAUCAACCCCCUAACUCGCUUCUCGAUUUCAGCCGCUUUCACGAACCCACCUUCCGUACUUUCAUCCAUUGGUAAGGCCAACUUCAUCUCCUCAACUAAGAACAGCCUAUUCAGCUUCUGCUCAGCAUAAAGUGGCCACCCCACCAUAGGCACACCCGCACAGACUGCUUCCAACACUGAGUUCCACCCACAGUGGGUCACAAACCCACCCACCGACCCAUGAUUCAACACAUCCACCUGCGGUGCCCAAGAACUCACCACGAAACCCCUACCCUUUGACCGGUCCAAAAACCGGUGGGGAAGCAACAAAUCCAGAUCUGGGGCGGGUGGAGUUUGAAAGCGGUUGGUUUUGUCCUCAGAAGGCGGACUGCGCACCACCCACAGGAACUUUUGCUCGCUCCUCUCCAACCCGAUGGCUAUCUCUUUCAGUUGCUCAGCUGGAAAUCGACCCACGCUCCCAAAGCACAAGAAUACAACGCUUCGACUUGGUUGCAUAUCCAGCCAUUUCAAACAUUCAUGCACACCUCCUCCCGUUCCACCUGCUGCACCUCCACCUUUCCCGUUGUCUGAUGCAAUCAGAGGUCCUAAGCUGAAAACAGGCGGAGUGGGGCCAUCCGGAACAUACUUUCCAUCAGCGAUUGAUUUCAAGAUGCUAGGUUCGAGCGAUUCGAACGUGUUGACUAGGAUCCCGGACGAUUUUGCCAAUUGCGUCGCAACAUCUAAGAAAAAUGCAUACUCAGGAGACGUUCUUUCCAGCAAAGGGACUAACAUGUCUCGUGGUGGUAUCGGCAGUAAAUCAGGAACAUGUAAAAGUUCGUCCAGGUCUUUAAAGCUUUUGUUUGUUGACUGGUGGAGCGUGGGUAAGUAAAGGAGGAGAGCGAGACAAUUAGCGCCGGAAGUGAAGAAGUAAUAAGUCGGGAUUCCAAGGUUGGUAGCAACAGAGAGGGCACAGGUGCAAAAGAAGUCGAUGAUGAAUGCAGAGAUUCCAGCUGUCAAGGAGAUGGAGUGCAGAGCUUGGUGAACAUGAGGGUUGCUGAGUCGAAGGAGCUCGAAGUGGAGAGCUUCCAAGGAGGGGUAAGAGUCAGGGUCAAGAGGCGGAGAGGGCAGGUGGUGGAAAGUGAUGGAAGGGGUGGUGGCAGAAAUGCGAUUCAUGUAAGCAGCAGUGGAGGCUGCGGUGUUGUAUGGCGGGUUCACAACGAGAAUAGUAACAGCCAAUCCAGGGUGG
rnacentral:lncRNA from 1 species